rnacentral:rRNA from 1 species
AAUGAACGCUGGCGGCAGGCCUAACACAUGCAAGUCGAACGGAUCCUUCGGGAUUAGUGGCGGACGGGUGAGUAACGCGUGGGAACAUACCCUUUGGUACGGAAUAGCCUCGGGAAACUGGGAGUAAUACCGUAUGUGGUCGAGAGACGAAAGAUUUAUCGCCAAAGGAUUGGCCCGCGUUGGAUUAGGUAGUUGGUGGGGUAAUGGCCUACCAAGCCGACGAUCCAUAGCUGGUUUGAGAGGAUGAUCAGCCACACUGGGACUGAGACACGGCCCAGACUCCUACGGGAGGCGGCAGUGGGGAAUCUUAGACAAUGGGGGAAACCCUGAUCUAGCCAUGCCGCGUGAUCGAUGAAGGCCUUAGGGUUGUAAAGAUCUUUCACCAGGGAUGAUAAUGACAGUACCUGGAGAAUAAGCUCCGGCUAACUCCGUGCCAGCCGCCGCAGUAA